rnacentral:lncRNA from 1 species
GUCUCUUAUCUUUUUCUUCUCAUAAAACGUCUAAAUUUUUUAGUGAUCAGGGUCAAGUCCUCAUCUUCUUCACUGUUGUCUGAUUUUUCUGAUUUAUCUUCUUCUGAGCUGUUGACUUAAGGGCUAUGGUCCUCUUUCUUCUGGUUUCCUCCUCAGUGUGCUGCUUCAUGGUCAGUUCAUAGAUCAUGAGGGAUCCAAGCAGUUCCUCCAAUGGUAGAAUAUUCAAACUUUGGUCUCUUGGAUUGCAGUGACUUUCGCUUUUCAUGAUCUUG